ensembl:lncRNA
CACAGUGGUCACUUAGCACUGGUGAUGGCUACAGAGCUCUCCAUUCCAGCCUCUGUUUGUUGUUGAUCAUUCUAAAAUGUUCCACCCCAUUACAAAGGUCGUAUGAGAAGUCAGCUGGAGGAGACAUCGCAGAUGCUGAUUGGUGUGUCAGAAACCUAAGGUGGAUGACUUCUGUGCCCCGUAGCUUCUUUUAAUAAGACAACAGGAUCACAGUUGGUCAAUGGGAUUGAAGAGGAAACGGCAAAGGUUAUUGAGGAGGGUUUGAGCAUGAUCACUUCCUCUCAUUUUUUCUCUUUCUCAUAACAGCAUACACACUUGAAGGUUUUCUCUCUUUUGUAAAUUAUAUGGAAUUUAUUAACAGUUGAACCAUAUCUACAUGGAGAUUAAUCAUACACCAGGUUCAUAGUAUUACUCUGGUGCCAUCUAUCGAUGGUAUAUGAUUUUAAACCACACUUUGUUUAAUGCAUAUAUGAGUGAAUUAAUAGACUGAGACAAUACAUGUUUUCAUGCCAUCACUGCUGAAAAAAACCCCACCUUAAAUCAGACUGUGUUGGUUUGCUGGUUUUAGUGGUUUUAGCUGGUCAUUCUCGGAGACCAGCAUCGACCAGCUUAAACCAGAUAAGACCACAUAUCGUAGGCUGAUUUAAGAUAUUUUCAGCCUAAUUUUGCCUUUGUUUGUCAAACAAGUUCCCAAGCAAUAUCCACUGAAGAAAAUUAAUCAUUACACAUUAAAUGGGGAAAUCCAUCACACGUCAUAUGAUGGAUUUGGCAUAAGAGGGCGACAUUGCAACAGUCUGAAUCCGGAAAGCGUGCAUCUGGAAGCAUGUAUUGCGUUUUCAAUAACUGCCAGUUAUGAUGUUGAAGAUUUCUUAUUUUUCACGAAAAAAUGCAAAUCGCAAACGUCGGAAAGUGAGAAUGAAGCUGAAAACUGAACCAAGUGAUAAUCUGCAAAGAGAGGAUGACAAAAGAUAUGUAUUCAAUACCUGCAAAUCUUAAAAAUAAGUGAUUUAAAGAGUCACUUCCAGCUGACUCAAACUCAAGCUGAGGAGUUGGUACGGCUGUUGGCGCCUUGGAAAUGGACUUCCAUUAGGCAAGAGGAAUAGACAGUGUGGCAUCCUGUGCUUGGUAGUCUGUGGGCUCUUUCUACCCAAGAGUCUUACCACAGUGUGGCAAACCGCUACACGUCACAGAGUCACUCAUUUGUGAUCAGCUGGAUGUAUUCUGCACCCUUGUUACCAGUAUCUUGGAUAAUGAAACUCAUUGGCUUCAGUGGGAGGAAGCAGAAAUAUCUGUGGUGGGCUUCUUUUCUACUGUGGGGUUAUCAGAUACUCUCUGUGUAGUAGGAAUGUGUUUCAUUCCUGUUGAGAAACCUACCGAUGUGCCAGAUCCAGAGGUACAUAGAAACGCAGAGGGGUUGUAUGCUGUAAAACUCUUGGCUUCUUGCAACCACAAGGGUCAUUUCACCUGUGUCUGGUGCACCAUAGAAACUGGCAUAACUCAAGAGUCCUGUCAGCAUCAGAGGUUGACAAGGCAUUGCAGAAAGACCAUGUGACACUUUUACAUGGCAAACACAUCACUGGCAAUUUCACCUUUCCACUUUCAGAGCACUUUCUGACUCCAUUCCCAGAUUAUGCAACAAUAGGACAGAAAAAUGUAUGUUAUAACCGGAAAGUGCAGUCAUCUCUUGCAGCGGUGCAAGGCUCCAUCAGUACUCUGAGAAAUUCUUUUCAGCGGCUCAGAUGUCUGCAGAAGCAUUCCAUUUGCCAAACCAGUUUAGCUGUGAAGACCUGCUGUAUUUUAUACAACAUGUUCCUAAAAACAUAAAGUGCCAGUGGACUGCACUGAGGAUGAUGUAGCCCAAAAACCUUUCCGUUAACUACCCUACGGACACUCUGGAAGUCUUGGUGGAAUAUCUAGAAGACAAGACAUCACAGCUGUAUAAGUAUUAUCAAAUAAUGCUGUAUACGAUAAUGAAUGCAAUAUGCUGACAAAAUGUUCAAAUUUAAAUUAUAAGGUGACUGUUCUGUUAAUCACUGUAGUAUGUAUAUUUUUUUUGUUAUGUGUACUAUUAUGUUGUAAUAUGUUGGAGUGGCAUCAUACAAGUACUUACAAAAUCAAGAAGGACAAGUUUUUGUGUAAUAGGGAUCUAAAGUUUUCAUCUGCAAAUUAAAACCAGGGUUUUCAACUAGGGAUCUGUGAGCAGAUGUGUAAAACAGGAUUUUCUACUAUGCAUUAUUAAUCCAUUAUGCAUUAUGGAAUGUUAAUUAUAGUUUAAAUAAAAAAUAAUACAAAAUGCUAUUUAAGUCUUUGGGUUGGCUAAUAGCCUGUGCGAGGGAUCCCCGAAU